rnacentral:rRNA from 1 species
UACGUAGGUGGCAAGCGUUGUCCGGAUUUACUGGGCGUAAAGAGCGCGCAGGCGGUCGAUUAAGUCGAAUGUGAAAGCCCCCGGCUCAACUGGGGAGGGUCAUUCGAUACUGAUCGACUUGAAGGCAGGAGAGAGAAGUGGAAUUCCCGGUGUAGUGGUGAAAUGCGUAGAUAUCGGGAGGAACACCAGUGGCGAAGGCGACUUCUUGGCCUGUUCUUGACGCUGAGGCGCGAAAGUGUGGGGAUCAAACAGG